rnacentral:lncRNA from 1 species
GAAUGAAUGUGUGAAAGAAGGAAGCAGACAUCUCAGCCACUGUGUAGACCAGGUAUCAUAUCAAUCCUAUGUGGAAUCCUCAGGAACAGUAGGAACUGAUGCAGAUUUGGGCCUCACAGGCACUAAAAGAAAAAGUUCAAAGCAAAUGCAGUAUCAGGGUGAGAAUCUUCAUUUUAUACUUUGUUAAUACGUGUAACCUAACUAAAUCUGGAUUUCAAAGAUUAAACAGAAAUUCAUAUGGACAUCCAGAAAGAAGGCAAAAAAAAAAAAAAAAAAAAAAGGUCAAGUACAGAUAGCUUCAGAUUCCUCCCUAGCAAUCUUCUCUACAGAAGACAGAGGAGAAGGUUUAUACCUUUGUUGUUCAGAAAUGCGACUCACGCACCAGCAGCUCCGGGAUUACUUGGGAGCUUAUUAGGAAUGCAGGAUCUCUGCUGCCAUUCCAUAUCUACUGAAUCAGAAUCUGCACGUGACCAGAUUUUUAGGUGAUUCUUAUGCAUACGAAAUUCUGAGGGAACAAAAAUGUGAUACAGUUUUUAAAAGUCCACCCAAAGAGUCUCUAGUAUAGAGACAACAAAUUCUCAAAUCUGAAAGAAUAAAGCAGUGAUUCUCAACCAGGCUGCUUCUUUGACCCUUGUUUGUAACUUCCUUUGGCCUUUUUGUUUUUUCCUACUAAGAGCGCUUAUUCUCUUAGUGUAAUUUCUCUGAGAUUGGAGAUAUUUACUCGUCUGUACAUUAGGACCCUUUGAGAAUUUUUAAAAAAUACUGUUGCAUGGAUCAUACUGUUAGAGAAACUGGUUGAAUUGGUUUGGAAUGAUAGCCAAAAGUCAUUGGUUUUUCAGAAGCUCUCAGGUCAUUACAGUAUGAAGCCAAGGUUGAGAAUCAUUGACUCAAGGGAAAAUCAACCCAUAAAUCUCAAGAGGGUUUCUCUUGAAAGAACCACUGAAAGAUGGACACCAGACAACAAAGCAAGGAAUCAAGAGAAAGAGCUUAGGAAUGAAGAAGUUGUGGCGAGAGGUCAGUGGUUAUGCAACGCCGCGGAAAGCCGAGAAGGAAGGCAAACAGAUGUAGCUUCCACGUGGUGUGAUGGGCCCUCGUGCCCCAGCUGCAUUAGGCCUUUUCUGGGACUGCAGAGCUGCGUGAAGGACCAGAACCCGUUCCCACGCAGUGUAUUCUGCGCGGAUGGCCCCCUGUGA